rnacentral:rRNA from 1 species
UACGUAGGGUGCAAGCGUUGUCCGGAAUUAUUGGGCGUAAAGAGCUCGUAGGCGGUCUGUCGCGUCGGCUGUGAAAUCCCGAGGCUCAACCUCGGGUCUGCAGUCGAUACGGGCAAACUAGAGUAUUGCAGGGGAGAACGGAAUUCCUGGUGUAGCGGUGAAAUGCGCAGAUAUCAGGAGGAACACCGGUGGCGAAGGCGGGUCUCUGGGCAACAACUGACGCUGAGGAGCGAAAGCAUGGGGAGCGAACAGG